CCGAAUCCUCAGGGCGGGGUGAAAGUCCCCACCGGCGGUAUUCCCGCGCGGCUUGCCGCGCCGGAGAGCCCGCGAGCGCCCGUUCCGUCGUGGAACGGGGUCAGCAGACCCGGUGAGAUGCCGGGGCCGACGGUAACAGUCCGGAUGAAAGAGGACGCGG
rnacentral:ncRNA from 2 species